rnacentral:rRNA from 1 species
GACGAACGCUGGCGGCGUGCUUAACACAUGCAAGUCGAGCGGUAAGGCCCUUUCGGGGGUACACGAGCGGCGAACGGGUGAGUAACACGUGGGUGACCUGCCCUCAGCUCUGGGAUAAGCCUGGGAAACCGGGUCUAAUACUGGAUAUGACUCCAUGACGCAUGUUGUGGGGUGGAAAGCCUUGUGCGGCUGAGGAUGGGCCCGCGGCCUAUCAGCUUGUUGGUGGGGUGANGGCCUACCAAGGCGACGACGGGUAGCCGGCCUGAGAGGGCGACCGGCCACACUGGGACUGAGACACGGCCCAGACUCCUACGGGAGGCAGCAGUGGGGAAUCUUGCGCAAUGGGCGAAAGCCUGACGCAGCGACGCCGCGUGGGGAUGACGGCCUCGGUUGUAA